rnacentral:rRNA from 1 species
UGGGGAAUAUUGGACAAUGGGCGAAAGCCUGAUCCAGCCAUGCCGCGUGUGUGAAGAAGGUCUUCGGAUUGUAAAGCACUUUAAGUUGGGAGGAAGGGCAGUUACCUAAUACGUGAUUGUUUUGACGUUACCGACAGAAUAAGCACCGGCUAACUCUGUGCCAGCAGCCGCGGUAAUACAGAGGGUGCAAGCGUUAAUCGGAAUUACUGGGCGUAAAGCGCGCGUAGGUGGUUUGUUAAGUUGGAUGUGAAAUCGCCGGGCUCAACCUGGGAACUGCAUUCAAAACUGACUGACUAGAGUAUGGUAGAGGGUGGUGGAAUUUCCUGUGUAGCGGUGAAAUGCGUAGAUAUAGGAAGGAACACCAGUGGCGAAGGCGACCACCUGGACUAAUACUGACACUGAGGUGCGAAAGCGUGGGGAGCAAACA